rnacentral:rRNA from 1 species
UACGUAGGGCGCAAGCGUUGUCCGGAAUUAUUGGGCGUAAAGAGCUCGUAGGCGGUUUGUCGCGUCUGCUGUGAAAACCUGAGGCUCAACCUCGGGCUUGCAGUGGGUACGGGCAGACUAGAGUGCGGUAGGGGUGACUGGAAUUCCUGGUGUAGCGGUGGAAGUGCGCAGAUAUCAGGAGGAACACCGAUGGCGAAGGCAGGUCACUGGGCCGCAACUGACGCUGAGGAGCGAAAGCAUGGGGAGCGAACAGG